UUACAAUACAUACAAGAUAUGAUUUCUUAAGCAGGGUGGGUAUCAAGGUGUUCAUCUGCGAAAUUCUUGCCUUGUUCACAAAGACAAUGCUGAAGGCGAAGGAAGCAGCGCUGAAAGGCAUCCACACACUGCGCCUCUGAAGGCAACCCAAUAUCCCUGGAAGAGCGCCCUCCGGGAGAAACGAGCUCGACCACUAUGCCAUCAUCAAGCCCCCCUGACCUGGGUCAGCCAUGAAGAAGACAGAAGACAACGACAUACUUGUGUUCAUUGUGGAGGCCAAGGCCAACAAGCACCAGAUCAAACAGGCUGUGAAGAAGCUCUGUGACACCUACAUGGCCCAAGGUCAACUCCCUGAUCAGGCCUGAUGGACAGAAGAAGGCCUGUGUCCGACUGGCUACUGACUAUGAUGCUUUAGAGGUUGCCAACAAAAUUAGGAUCAUCUAACCUGAGUCCAGCUGAUUAAUUCUAAAUAUAAAAUUUUUUCACCAUAAAAAAUUCUUAUAAUACACCCAUUCCUUCAGAGUAAUGAAAGAAAUAAUUCUUCUCUUGACCUCAAGUCCCUUCUCAAGUGCAUUCUCCCACUCACAGAAACAGUGAUCUUAAAAACAUAAAUCUGCACUUACUUGUCCCCUGGUCGGAAUCCUUCCAGUGGCCUUCCAACAUAUUCAGAAAAAAAAAAAAAAGGUAAGCAUCUCAUCAUGGACUACCGGGCACUACCUGAUCUGCUCUGGGCUGUCUCCCCACCUCACUUCCUGCCACUCUUCUCCGGAUGCAGCACACUCCUUCCCUGCUGUUCUUUGAAUGCAUGGGCCAAAUGCACCCUACCCCGUUUUUGGUUGUCGUUAAUUUUUUUUUCCUUAACUUUUUGAGAUAAUUAUAGAUUCACAGGUAGUUAGAAAUAAUACAGAAAUCCCGUUAUGUUCCUCACCCAGUUUCCCCUAAUGGCAACAUCUUGCAUAACACAGUCACAAUAUCACAACCAGGGAACUGAUACUGAUAAGUCUACUCACCUUAUUCAGAUUUUGACAGUUUUACAUACACUCACUUAUGUGUGUGUGUUUAGUUCUACGUAAUUUUUUUUUUUUUUCGGUAUGCGGGCCUCUCGCUGCUGUAGCCUCUCCCGUUGUGGAGCACAGGCUCCGGACGCGCAGGCUCAGUGGCCAUGGCUCACGGGCCCAGCCGCUCCGCGGCAUGUGGGAUCUUCCCGGACCGGGGCACGAACCCGUGUCCCCUGCAUCGGCAGGCGGACUCUCAACCACUGCGCCACCAGGGAAGCCCAGUUCUACGUAAUUUCAUCACUUGUGUAAGUUCUUAUGACCACCAUCCCGGUCAAGAUACAAAAUAUCAGUAGCUCUAUCAGAAGGAUACCUCCGAGGAGGAGGAGAAGGCAGAGGAGGAGGAGGAGGGUCCCUCGUGCUUCUUUUUAUAGCCGGUCAUCUCUGGCCCCGAGUCCCAACCGGUGGCAACCCUUAAUCUGUCCUCCAUCUCUAUAAUUUUGCCAUUUAAAAAUGUAUAUAUAAAGAAAAACAAAAGAAAAAAAUGUAUAUAAAUGGGACCUAUUUUAGUUUGGGCUGCCAUAACAGAGUAGUAUAGACCGGGUGACUUAAACCACAUUUAUUGCUCACAGUUCUGAAGGCUGGAAGUCCAGGAUCAAGGUGCUAGCAUGGUUGGGUUCUAGUUAAGGUCCUUUUCCUGGUUUUCAGACAGGCAUCUUCUCACUGUGUCCUCACACAGCAGAGGAAGACUGAGUUAGUUCUCUGGCUUCUUAUUUAUUUAUUUAUUUAUUUUUGGCUGCGUUGGGUCUUCGUUUCUGCGCGCGGGCUUUCUCUAGUUGCGGUGAGCAGGGGCUACCCUUCAUUGCGGUGCGUGGGCUUCUCAUUGCGGUGGCUUCUCUUGUUGCAGAGCACGGGCUCUAGGUGCGUAGGCUUCAGUAGUUGUGGUGCACGGGCUUAGUUGCUCCGCGGCAUAUGGGAUCCUCCCGGACCAGGGCUCGAACUCAUGUCCCCUGCACUGGCAGGCAGAUUCUUAACCACUGUGUAACCAGGGAAGUCUGUCUGGCUUCUUUUUUUUUUUUGCGGUAUGCAGGCCUCUCACUGCUGUGGCUUCUCCCGUUGCGGAGCACAGGCUCCAGACGCUCAGGCUCAGCGGCCAUGGCUCACGGGCCCAGUCACUCCGUGGCAUGCAGGAUCUUCCCGGACCGGGGCACGAACCCGUGUCCCCUGCAUCGGCAGGCGGACUCUGAACCACUGCGCCACCAGGGAAGCCCUGGUUUCUUUUAUAAAGACACUCAUCCCAUCCAUAAAGGCUCCAUCCUCAUGACCUAAUUACCUACCAAAGUCCCCAUCUUCAAAUACCAUCACAUUUGGGAUUAGAUUUCAACUUAAUGAAUUUUGAGGGAACACAAACAUACAGUCCAUAACAAGAUCACAUAACAUGUAACCUUUUGAGGUUGCUUCUUUUCACUUAGCAUAAUUUCCUUGAGACCCAUCCAAGUUGUUGUAUGUAUCAGUAGUUUGUUCCUUUUUAUUGCUGAGUAGUAUUCUAUGGUAGGAAUGUACCAUAGUUUGUUAACCUUUCAUCAACCUAAGGACAAUUAGGUUGUUUCUAGAUUUUGGCUCUGACAAAUAAAGCUGCUAUAAACCUUCAAGUACAGGUUUUUUAUGAUUACGUUUUUAUUUCUCUGGGAUAAAUGCCCAAGACUGCAAUUGCUGGGUGAUAUGGUAAGUGCAUGUUUAGUUUUGUAAGAAACUGUCAUAUUCUAUACCAGAGUCGUUGCACCAUUUUAUACUUUCACCAGUAAUAUAUGAAGGAUCCAGCUCUUCUGCAUGCUUGCCAGAAAAUGGGGUUAUUAUUUUUCAUUUUAGCCAUUCUGAAAGGCACGUGGUUGUACCUACUGUGGCCUUAAUUUACAUUUCCCUAGUGGCUAACGAUGUUGAGCAUCCUUUCAUGUGCUUGUCCUCUGUAUAAUUUCUUCAUUGAAAUGUCUGCUCAAUGUCUUUUGCCCAUUUUAUUAACUGUUGAUUUUUUUUAAUAACAGCUUUAUUGAGAUGUAACUCACAUAUUAUACAAUUCACCAUUUAAAGUGUACGAUUCAGUGGUUUUUAGUAUAUUCACAGGGUUGUGCAACAACCACCAUCACAAUUAACUGUAGAACACUUUCAUCACGCCCAAAAGAAAAUCCUCACCCGUUAGCAGUCACUCUCCGAUUUCCCCCAAACUCCCAGGCUUGGGCAACCACUAGUCUACUCUUUAUCUUCAUAGAUUUGCCUACUCUAGACAUGUCAUAUAAAUGAAAUCAAAUAAUAUGUGGUCUUUUGUGACUGGCUUCUUCUACUUAGUACAAUAUAAUGUUUUCAAGAUUCAUCCAUGUUGUAGCAUGUAUCGGUACUUUAUCUCUUUUUAUUGUUAAAUAAUAUUCCAUUUUAGGGAGUUCCCUGGUAGUCCAGUGGUCAGGACUCUGCGCUUCCACUGCCGACGGCUGGAGUUUGUUCCCUGGUUGGUGAACUAAGAUCCCGCAAGCCAUGCGGUACAGCCAAAAAAAAAAUUCCAUUUUAUUGGACAUACCACAUUUCAUUUAUCCGAGCAUCAGUGGAUAGACAUUUGGGUUGUUUCCACUAUUAUGAAUAAUGCUGCUAUGAGCACUCAAGUCAAGUUUUUGUGUGGACAUAUGUUUUCAUUUCUCUUGGGUACACCUAGGAGUGGAAUUUCUGGGUUGUAGGGUAACUCUAUGUUUAGCUUUUUGAGAAACUGCCAUCUGUACCAUUUUACAUUCCUACCAGCACUGUAUCAGGGUUUCGAUUUCUCCACACCCUCGCCAAAGCAUUCCAGUAUCUGUAUUUUCAAUUAUAGACAACCUAGUGAGUGUGAGGUAAUAUUUCAUUGUGAUUUCCGAUGUGCAUUUCUCUAAUGGCUAAUGGUACUGGGCAUCAUUUCAUGUGCUUAUUGGCCAUUUUUAUAUCUUCUUCUGAGAAAUGUCUACACAGAUCCUUUGCCCAUUUAAAAAAUUGGGUUAUUUGUCUUUUUAUUAUUGAAUUGUAAUAGUCUUUAUAUAUUCUAGAUACAAGUCCCUUAUCAUAUACAUGAUUUGCCAAAAUUAUCUCCCAUUCCGUGCCUUUUCAUUUUUUUUUUAAUUAAUUAACUUAUUUACUUAUCUUUGGCUGCGCUGGGUCUUCGUUGCUGCGCGCAGGCUUUCUCUGGUUUCGGAGAGCAGGGGCUACUCUUCGUUGUGGUGCACGGGCUUCUCAUUGCGGUGGCUUCUCUUGUUGUGGAGCAUGGUCUCUAGAGCGCAGGCUCAGUAGUUGUGGUGCACGGGCUUAGUUGCUCUGCGGCAUGUGGGAACUUCCUGGACCAGGAAUUGAACCCAUGUCCCCUGCAUUGGCACGCAGAUUCCCAACCACUGCGCCACCAGGGAAGCCCCUCUUUUCACUUUCUUGAUGGUGUCCUUUGACGUCCAAAAGUUUUUAACCUUGAUUAUGUCCAACAUAUCUAUUUUUUUCAUUUGUUACUCAUACUUUUGGUGUCAUAUCUAAGAAACUGUUGCCUAAUCCAAGACCAUAAAUGUUUAUAUCUGUGUGUUCUUCUAAGAGUUCUAUGGUUUUAGCUCUUAAACUUAGGUCUUUGAUCCAUUUUGAGUUCCUUUUUGUAUAUGGUAUGAGGUAAGGGUCUAAUUUCACUCUUCUGCAGGUGGCUAUCCAGUUGACCCUGUAACAUUUGUUGAAAACACUAUUCUCCCCCAUUGAAUGGUCUUGCCAUCCUUGUUGAAAAAUCAGUUGAACACGGGUGCAUGGGAUUUAUUUGAGUACUCUCAAUUCUAUUCCAUUGAUCUAUAUGUCUAACUUUAUGCUAAUACCACACUGUCUUGAUUAUAGUUUACUGUUGAGUUUUGUUGAAAGGGCUUUUUAUUUUCUAGAUGCAAGUCCUUUGUCAGUAUGUGCUUUGCAAAUAUUGUUUCUGUGGCCUAUCUUUUCACUCUCUUUAUAGGGUCUUUUGCAGAGCAAAAGCUUUUAAUUUUAGUGAGGCCCUAUCUAUCUAUCUAUCUAUCUAUCUAUCUAUCUAUCUAGGCCUGUGCUUUUGAUGUCAAGCCUCUGCCUGUUUUUGUAAAUAAAAUGUCAUUGUAACACACCAUGCCUACCUCCUUACGUAAUGUCUGUGGCUGCUUUCGUAGCCAUGUUGAAUAGUUGUAACAGAGACCACAUGGCCCACAAAGCCUAAAACAGUUACUAUCUGGCUCUUUACAGAAGAGGUUCUUGACCCGCUGCUCUAAUCUGCUAAACCUUUACACUCCAGGGCCCUUACACACUCGCUCUGUCUGAAACACUCUUUCCUUGGAUCUCCUUCUCACGGCUGGCUCUCCAGUGUUAUUCUGGCUUCUGCUCAAAUUUACCUUAGAGAGGCCUUCCAUGACCAUAUUAUUUAGAAUACGCAACCCUCCCCAUCGUUCCACCAUCUACUCCCUUACUUUAUUUUUCUUCAUAGAAUUUAUCACUUCCUUCACUAGAAUAAGCUCCAUGAGGGCAGUCUCAGGCACCAACAGUGCCUGUCAUAUAAUAUCACUCAAGAAAUACUUGAAUAAAUAAGUGAGUCACAGAGAACUAUGUGGAAACCACCUCUUUCCAGGAAAAAUAACUCUUGAUAUUUAUUAUCCCAUAAACUAUUUUGUCAGAGGAACAAUACUUGAAUGAAAGAACAAUAGGUCUGAUUCCCUUCAUGAACUGUAUAAUGAUGUUUAUGUGUCAUUUUACCUCCAUGGCAUUCCCUAACAUAUCGAGCUAAAGAGUUACCUACGGCUGGAGAGCAAGGAUGUUUGAAAGUCUUUACAUUUGUUUUCUAACUCUGUAUUCCUUCCUGAUCUCCUCUUGAGCCUGAACUGAAAUUCAAUGGGUCGAUAAUAAUGUAGGUUAUCUGUUUCACACUACAAUUGAUUUCUCCUGAUUGCUCUUGAAUUCUGAACUCUUGAUCUGUCUGUAGGGGAACAAUGUAGAACAGAGGAAAGGAAAGAGAGCUUCGGCGUAAAGAUACUGGUCACAGGCCAGCUCUAGCACUAGUUAUGUGACCUUAAAAACAUAUCUCAAGAUCUUAAACCUUGUUUUCAGAUAGUAACAUCUGCCUCACGAAUAAAUGUAUGUAAAUAAUAAUUAAUUCCCAAUUAUUUAACAUCUUCUAUAUGCCAAUGUGAGAUUAUAUAUAUAUCUGUCCCUGGUUCCUGGCAUAGAGCUCUUAAAACCCUUGUAAUUUCCUGAGUCAUAAGAACACUGGGAACAUCUCUCAUUCUAAUAAUUGUCUUUGACCAGGUCCCUGACACAGGGCUCCUGAAACGCUUGUAAAUUCCUAAGUGAUAAGAGCACUAGGAACAUCUUUUGUUCUGAUGAGGUGAGUGUCGAUGGGCUCCUGGAUGGGGGCUGGUCACCAGCAAGACCAAGCUGUGAUUAGAAGCUUGGAAUUAUCAGCCCACCCCUCGUCCUCCAGAACGGGGAGAGGGGCUGGAAAUGGAGUUAAUAAUUGAUCGUGUCUGUGUGAGGAGGCCUCCAUAAAAUCCCAAUAGUAGGAGGUUUGGAAAGUUUCCAGGUUGGGAAACACCUCACACCGGGAGGGUGACGCACCUCAACUCCAUGGGGACGGAAGCUCCUACGCUCAGGACCCUCCCAGACCCUGCCCUAUGUAUUUCUUUAUCUGGUUGUUCAUCUGUAUCCUUUAUCAUAUCUUUUAAUAAACUGGUAGACAUAAGUGUUUCCCUGCGGUCUGUGAUCCAUUUUAGCAAAUUAAUGGAACCCAAGGAGGGGGUCAUUGUAACCUCUGAUCUAUAGCUGGUUGGUCAGAAGCACAGGUGAUAACCUGGGCUUGCAACCAGUGUCUGAAGUAUGUGUGGGUCGGGACAGCAGCAGUCUUGUGGGACUGAGACCUUUACUUGUGGGACCUGGUUAGACAGUGUCAGAAUUGAGUUAAAUUUUAGGACAUCCAGUUGGAGCCACAGAGAAUUGCUUGGUGUGCAGAAAAACUGAGAUUUUUUUCCUUUACAGCCAAAUACUUUGCUAAGUGCUGAGAAUAUAUUAUCUAAUUUGUCACAAUAAUCAGCAAAGAUCGAUGUCAUCCAAAGAGUUAAUUAUAGUGUCUGGCUAAUAGGUAUAAAAUAGGACAAACUUUCACAGCCAUUUGCAUCUGGCUAUGUCAAAAUGGCCUUGUCAAAAGUAAAAUCACUGGUUUUUUGUUUUUCGUCUUUGUUGGGGUACAGUUGAUGGAAAAUCACUGUUUUUAAUGCCAGUAACAACAGCAACAACUAUCUUAAACCUUUGCUUAUCCUUAAUUCCCACUAAAAUUCUGGGGACUGUGUCGUUUAAUUUCUCUAUUAUUGAGAUGUUUCGCAGGCACGUACUUCUUUUUUAAUAAAACCACCACCACGACGGCGAUAUACGAUAUCUUAAUAAUGAUAAGGUUGGCAUAAUUAGGAAGCCCACAAAUAAGAGAGGUAGACUACCCUAUGAUUUUUGAAAUGGAAAAACACAGUAGUAUCCAAUCUUAAGUAGUCAAAUCUAAUUAUUAAAUAAUUAUGCAGCAGGGGGAGCUCGGUGGGAGCUGGGGUGGACAGGAGGCACAGUGGCUUUGCUCACCAUUGGUAAAGCGUUGAACACAUUUUAAAAAAGGAUCACUCCUUGAUUUCUGUGUCUCACACCUUGUCCUCACAGUGUUUCCACCAAUGUCUUUCCAAAAUAGCCUUAACAACUGUCAUGUAGACCUACCAUCUUUAAAAAUGUAUUGACUUUUAAGAUUUUCCAAAAAAUGCUAUGUUUUGGAAAAUGUGCUAAGGAAGAGCAAUUGCCCGCCUUGUUCUUCCCCCAGCUCUGCUUUCCUUAGUUUGACCAAUAAAAAAAUUGGGAAAGAAUCUGGCAGUCUGAUAAGACCGCCAUUCAAGAUCCCAGUGAAUUCCCUGAGAAGGAGCUUAUUUAAAGUCUUUCUGGAUAGAUCACAUGGGCUAAACCCUUGGCUUCAGGCAAUAUGUGAUUUAGUCACCAGAUGAAGCCUACCCUGUCCCUAUCCCAGGCCAAAGGGUCAUAAAUUCUUUAAUAUCUUUUUGUGACUCUUCAUCACAGUGCUUUGCAAGUAAUAUGACUCAGUAACACUUUAGAGUCGGCUCUAUAAGAAGAGUUCUUAUCAUGGUGCAAAUUCAGCUAUGAUUCUUCACACCUAUAUAGUCAUGGCAGUUUUUAAGGUAAUUCCCUCUCGUCCAGUUGUGUAUAAUUUUACCGAGGCCUGUUUGCAAUUACAAUGCUGAACAUGGAUAUUUUAUCAUUUUUAUUAUUCUUGAUGUUAAAGCACAAAAUGCCACACAUGGCAAAUACUAAUUAAUUGUGAAUAAAAAUAAUAUGGGAAUGUACCGAGUCUAUUGGCUGCAAUAGUCUCUCCCACCACCACUUAUGUAGGUCCGCGUUAAUAAGACAACAAAAGUUUAGGGAAACGACAGGUAUUGAGAUUACUAACAUAACUAUGACAAAACAAGCUGAUACCAAUCUGACAUAAAUUCUUAAUACUCACAUCCUGUUUGUUGCUCUCCAUCUCUCUGCUAUACUAAGAAUUGACUCGCCCUCCAAUUCUUCUUUAAGGUACUGCUUCCUGUAAAUUGUAAUUGGCUAGUUAUUUAUUUGCUUUAUCUACUUAAGUUCCUUGAGAGAUGAGGCUGUGUCAGCCCCCCGACCCACAGGCACACCAAUAAGUACUUGUGGAAGUAGGUGAAACCUCAUAUAAUUCUAGUGUCUUAGAUUAACCCAAUUCUGGGGUCCUCAACAAAGCUCUUUCCACUUGUUCAGUAGCCAGUGGGAAGAAUUUUAUCAAGUAAAGGGAGAGAAAACGGAAAGAGCUGAAUAUGGUGCAAAAUGGAACCUCUAUAUUUUGAGUCAUUGCUCUGUCACCAACUAGCACUGUUUCCCCAUCAGCAAAAGGAGCAGGGAUUAGGUGAACUUGCUGUCAUAAAACUCUGUGAUUUAAUGUGGCUUAUUUUGCCGUAUAAAAUUAAUAAAAUAUUUGAAAUAAAACACCUCCUCACAGCUUCACCUAAACAUCAUCAGAGAGCUGCAGUGGAGUCAGAAAUCAGGACUCUGCUUAGCCAGUUAUCAAGUCCGAGUGUUUCCUCCUUGACCAACUCUCCUGACUUGGAUGCAUAGUUGGGGAUCAGCUGAGAUGUAUGGUGAAACACUAGUGUUAUCUCCUGAGUUUAUUAGGAGGAAGGGGAGAAUUAGGACAGACCAUUCCUUUGACUAUUCCACAGCCUCCUUAUUACCCUUUCCUUUUCAUUUCUCUCUGCAGCCCCUGCCCCCCAGUGUCUCUCCUUUCCUCUGUCUGCUAGUUCUUGGCUUCCAGGUCAUCAUCAUUCGGGGAGAAAAUAAAAACCCAAAACCUCUACAACUCUUCUAACUCAAAUAAAUAUACUUUUCUUUAAAAGUAAGGUGCUAUACUUGCAGUGAAUGAAUGAAUGAGCCAUAAUUUUCUAAGGAAAUUCCAAUUUUCAUCUUUCAAAAACCUACAGAGUUAUCAUUUGCAUAGCACUUAAACUCCUGGUAGGUAUCUUUCAAGGCCAGCACAGUUCCCUUUGCCUGGAUGGUUUUUCUACGGCUCUCACUUUCUUCAGGUCUUUGGUCAAAAGGCACUUCCUCAGACCCAUUCCUUCCCCCACCUGCCAUUGAAUAUGCCAGUCCCCUCCCCAUUUCUUACUACAUAUUUUCUUCAUAAGAUUUAUCACUGUCUGGCAUUUUAUUACACAUCCACGCAUUUUCUUGUCUAUCCCUUCCCUAGAGUAUAACUCCAGGAAGGCAGGACCAUUGCCCACGUCGUUCACUGUGAGGUCUCCAGCACCUGGAGCAGGGCUCGGACACGGUAGGUGCUCAGGAAAUAACAAAUAUUCUCUCAAGUACUCUGAGGCUACGUGCUAGUUUCUCCUGAGCCCUAGGACCCGCUUCUCCCUUAGUCCCGCCCAACCGUGAGUCACCACCCACCUCUACCCGAGCCCAGCUCGGAAGCUCGUCCUCCCGCCUGCCAGCCACAGGGACAGCGCUGCGCACCCACCACCGGGACCGGGCAACGGCGGUUGGGCCCGGCGGCUCCGCUCAACCGCCCAUCUCCGGGCUCACCCACGCCUCUCCGCUGGUCCCAGGAGGCCACGCCCGGGGGUGACAGCGAUGCCGCCACUGCGCUUCCGCCCGCCCGGCUGCGCGGCCGUUAGGUCCCCCGCGCAGCUACGAGAUGCCCAGGAUUCUGUUUUGAACGAUCCGUUGAUGUGGGAGGAAAACGUGACUCGUGGGUCCGGCUGCCUCCGUUAAGCAGGACGCAGGCAGCCACCCCUGGCGUGAGCAGGGCUCGCGCUCUUGAGUCCCCACAACCGCUGCCCCAGUCCUACUCUUCACCUUCGCGCCAAACUGACCGGCCGGGCCGCAGCCCACCUCGCUCCCACCCGACGCCCAGGCAUCUUCGAGAAGAGAGCGGGGAACGCUUUACGGGGAAACGACUCAGGGCCCCACCAUCCUUGAUGCCGCCGUUAAGAGGGUGUUAACAUUUCUGCUUUAAGAGAUACCGGUUCCCUCUCAGCGCCUCCGCGCCCCGGGGGUGUUGCCCUCAGACAACUCUGCGGGGUGGGCCGGGGUCGAGGCUGAGAAGGCAGAGGGCAAUUUCUAGUGGUUCUUUUGGACCCGGUGGCUCUUUUCUAAUGAAAAGCCCCAAAUGUCUUUCCUUCCACCUCCUGGAAAGGACUCUUUAAAAUUUGGGGUUAGGAGUAAUAAAGGUCGUCCCACGCUGCCUCGUGGGUGCUGUCCGGGGAGUGGUUGGUGGACAAGAGAGGGACCGGUGCUUUGGAGAUUGUUCUCCCCUUUGUCCCCUACUAACUUGGAAUUAUUUAGGGCCUCAUAGUGAUAGCAUGGCCUUUCAGCAAGGGCUGAGUCAGUAGUGACAAGGUUUUUUUUUAAAAUGUCUGCAUUACACUUCUCAAAAGGGAAUAUUCCCAGUGAGCAAUAAACUCAGGAAAAAGGUGUGCAUCUGAAUUGGUCAUAUCAGGGAACUCCAAAUUAAAACCACAGGAGAUGCUACCAUACACCCACUAGGAUGGUUAAAAUGAAGGAGGAGGAAAAGGAAAGAGAGAGAGAAUGCCAAAUACGGGAGGCCAGAACUUUCAUACGUGGUUAAUGGGGGUACAAGUUGAUAAACUGGCGCACUUUGGAAAAUAUUUAGCAAUAUUUAUUAAAACAGAACAUGUGUAUAUAAUGGAAUGUUACUCAGCCAUAAAAAAGAAUGAAACAAUGCCAUUUGCAGCAACAUGGAUGGACCUGGAGAUUAUCAUAUGAAGUGAGGUAAGUCAGAGAAGGAUAAAUAUUAUAUGAUAUCACUUAUAUGUGGAAUCUUAAAAAAAUGAUAGAAGUGAACUUGUUUACGAAACAGAAAUAGACUCACAGACAUAGGAAACAAACUAUGGUUACCAAAGGGGAAGUGGGGGGGAUAAAUUAGGAGUUUAGGAUUAACAUAUACACACUACUAUAUAUAAAAUAAACAACAAGGACCUACUGUAUAGCACAGGGAACUAUACUCAAUAUCUUGUAAUAACCUAUAAUGGAAAAGAAUCUAAAAAAUAUAUGUAUGCAUACUGAAUCACUUUGCUCUACACCAGAAACACAACAUUCUUCAAUAAGAAACACAACUAUACUUCAGUAAAAAUUAUUUUAAAAAAACCAGACAGAACAUAUGCCUGCCCUAUGACCCAACAAUUCCACCCCUAGAUAUAUACUCAGUAGAAAUGCAUACACACGUUCAUCAAAAAAUAGGUAUUAGAAUGUUCAUCUCAGCAGUAUUCAUAACAAUGCCAGACUGGAAAUAAUCCAAAUGUCCUUUAAGAGAAGAAUGGAUAAUUACAUUGUGUUAUAUUCACACAGUGGAAUAUUAUACAGCAAUGAGAGUGAAUGUGCUAUAGCAACCUGCAAUUAUAUGGAUGAAUCUCACAAAGUUGAGUGGAAGAAACCAGUUAAGAAAAAAAAGGGACUUCCCUGGUGGUGCAGUGGUUAAGAAUCUGCCAGCCAAUGCAGGGGACACAGGUUUGAGCCCUGGUUCGGGAAGAUCCCACAUGCUGCAGAGCAACUAAGCCCUUGCGCCACAACUACUGAGCCUGCGCUCUAUAGCCCGUGUGCCACAACUACUGAGCCUGCGUGCUGCUACUACUGAAGACCACACACCUAGAGCCUGUGCUCUGCAACAAGAGAAACUACCGCAAUGAGAAGCCUGCGCACCAUAACGAAGAGUAGCCCCCGCUUGCCGCAACUAGAGAAAGCCUGCGUGCAGCAACGAAGACCCAACAGAUCCAAAAAUAAAUAAAUAAAAUAAAUUUAUUAA